rnacentral:rRNA from 1 species
AUUGAACGCUGGCGGCAGGCCUAACACAUGCAAGUCGAACGAGUGGCGGACGGGUGAGUAAUGUCUGGGAAACUGCCCGAUGGAGGGGGAUAACUAAUGGAAACGGUAGCUAAUACCGCAUCCCAUUGGAUGUGCCCAGAUGGGAUUAGCUAGUAGGUGGGGUAAUGGCUCACGUAGGCGACGAGCCCUAGCUGGUCUGAUAGGAUGCACAGCCACACUGGAACUGCGACACGGUCCAGACUCCUACGUGAGGCAGCAGUGGGGAAUAUUGCACAAUGGGCGCAAGCCUGAUGCAGCCAUGCCGCGUGUAUGGAGAAGGCCUUCGGGUUGUAAAGUACUUUCAGCGGGGAGGCGUUACCCGCAGAAGAAGCACCGGCUAACUCCGUGCCAGCAGCCGCGGUAAUAC